ensembl:lncRNA
UGUGAAGCAAUGUCAAGUUAGCAAUACAUUUGCCUUCAUGAAGAUACACCUUUAGUUGUUAUUUUACUCACGUAUAGACAAGUCUGAUUACACGAUAUGGUUUCAGAAGUGGACUAGAACGAGUGUAUUUAAUAACAGAGUUUAUCUUAUCGGGUUAAAAAGUUUUGGGAAGAAAAUUGAAGAGGCUAAUCAGCAUGGAAGACGUCGCAGGAGAAGCGCAGCAGCCACUGGCAGCAGUGGGUAGAGGAAGAGGCCAGGCUCCUGUUCAAGGUGCAGCGGGAGGGGCACAGAUACUCACGCAAACAGGCCCAAGUGCUACAUUCAGCUUACAGCCACUAGAGCUGUUUGAUUUUUCUAAACCGCAAGAAUGGACCAAAUGGAUUAGGAGUUGCGAGCGCUUUUGUCAGGUGAGUCAUCUUCACAUCUACCGAGGAGAAUCAGGAGAACAACCUCAUAUACUGUUUGGGCGAUGAAGCAGGUGACGUUUUGAGGCCCAAACCUAAACAAACUCGAGCAACAACGGUAUGGACAAAAGAACUAGUCAGGAAGAGAGACAGAAGGGCAAUGCAGGUGCUUCUACAUCCAGGACCUCUAUAUCAGGCGGUGUGAAAGGAAGGUCCGGAAGGUCCGGAAAAUUGUUAGACUCCAGCCACCCAAGCCAUAGACUGUUCUCUCUGUUUCCGCAUGGCAAGCGGUACUGGAGCAUCGAGUCUGAUACCAACAGGCUCCUGAACAGCUUCUAUCCCCAAGCCAUGACUGCUAAAUAGCUAACAAAAUGGCUAUACAGACUGUCUGCAUUGACCCUUUUAUUUUUGCAGACUAUGCACACUCACAGGACUCUACACACUCACUCACACACACAAACUCAUACUGACACUCAAACACACAUACACACUUGAUUUGCCCACACACACACGCACACACAUUCAUACUGACUCUACACACACACACACACACACACACACACUCACUCACAUACGAUCAUCAUAUAUGCUGUUGCUACUCUGCUUAUCAUACAUCCUGAUGCCUAGUCACCUUAUGACGAUACAUACAUACCUACUUACCCUUACCACUCCAGUAUCCCUGCACAUUGUAAAUAUGGUAUUGGCACUGAUCAUGGAACUGAUGCUGUAUAUAGCUUACUUACUUGAUCAUGUUCUUUCUGAUGUGUUUUUGUUCUACUUUAAUUUGUUUUAUAGUACUACAGAUAUUGAGUACUGCAUUGUUGGGAAAGAGCAAGGCAUUUCACUGUACUUGUGCAUGUUACAAUAAAACAUGAAACUUGAAACUUAUUCGCAAGUAAGUACCUUCUGUGGAUAGGCCAAGUACCUCCAGGGGUACAUCUAGGCUAGCCCAGGUUGACAACCACUGGUGUAUAAUGCUUUUUUAAAAAUCAGGCUUGGGAAGUGGAUUCAAAAGGUAAUUAAAGCACAUCUCCUUGUCUGUACACACCUGUACUAUCUCUCCUUGCUGUCAGUCCCUAAAGAAGGGAGUGUAUUUUGGUGUGGUGUAGCCUCAAGCAGGGUGUGGGAAAGCCUGUUUGAAUCCAGCAGAUUAUUGGAUUCUCUGUAGCCUGUCCACCACACCCAUCCUGACACACACACACACACACGUGCAUUUAAGGCUUCUUACUUACUCAAAAAAACAUGAACAUACACAAACACAGCAAAUUACUUACACUCAAACAAAAAGACAGACAAGCACACACACACACACACACACACACACACACACACACACACACACACCUACCUGAAACAGUCAUCCGGACUCGAUAAACCAACCAACCAACAUACCCAGAUGACAUGUGGUCCUCAUUGUCUUACAGGAAUUAUUGCACAAUUACAGUGAUAAUUAAAUAUGUUCUACACUCUUGUGGCUUUGAGUCAGUGACUCUUAUCACAGCGUGAAAUUCAGAUAAUCUCAUAUGACUACAUUGAUUACAGUCACGUCCUCUCAAAUUAUUACAUUUCUUCUGUAGCGUGCCUGUUCUUUGAUGUUGCAGGUGCUCAUUGUCCCAGGUUGUCAGUACUGUGUGGGGACAGAAGAGGUCCUGAAGACUGCUCCUAUCCCAGCCAGGCACCCAUGCCUGGCACAUAAUGUGCAAUGGAUGGGAUUGGACUAAUUCACUUCACAGCCAUUGUUUUUACGACAGCCUAACCCAUCCUACAGCAUCUACUGUACACUGUGUCAUGGAAGAAAGCAACAAGGCUUUGGGCAUAAUUCAUUGACAUUUGCAUAAUGUUAGACAAAGAAAGACAUCCGUUUCAGUACUCCUCUCUUUGUACUCCUCUCUUUGUUUAGGUUGAUUUUAAAGUGAAAGUGAUCAUGACAUUGACCUAAAUAUGGCGAACUAAUAAUAAAACACAGCCUAACCCUAAA